UUCUGUACUGAGUUAUGUGUCUAUCAUGCGCAUUCCUCAAAAGUCACAUUCUUGAGGGCAUGAUGGCCUUCCUGGAAGGAUAUGACAGCAGUAUUGUCACAGAUGGCUCUGCACACUUUCUCAGGCUGAAACACUUGAAAGGGCUUUGUUUUCAGAGGAGCCAAUCAGUGAGUGGCUAGAGGACAGUGAAGUGGUCAAAGCACUGAAAACAGUGACUGAGACCCAACCCAACCCGGGGACUUGCGCAUGCUCGGCAGGUGUUCCACCAGUGAGCUGCUUCCCCAACCUCUGUAUCAAGGGCACUUGAACCUGUGGUCAUACUUGCUUUUCUUCUGGGAUGAACACUUGUCCUAAGGAGGCAUCGGUGGAAAACCUGACCUGGAGCAAUACAUCAUUAACAAUGUGUGUACUUUUCAACUAGUGUUAAGCAUCAGCAAACAGCAGGUGCUAGGAGAAAGGAGGAAGAAGA